AGCCUCGUAGCUCAGCUGGUAGAGUAUGCGCGUACAAAGCGUAAGUGGAGUCCAUGCGUGGGUUCAAAUCCCGCCGAGGCUA
rfam:Echinostoma caproni strain Egypt genome assembly, scaffold: ECPE_scaffold0024506